rnacentral:rRNA from 1 species
UACGGAGGGUGCGAGCGUUGUCCGGAAUUAUUGGGCGUAAAGAGCUCGUAGGCGGUCUGUCACGUCGGCUGUGAAAUCCCGAGGCUCAACCUCGGGUCUGCAGUCGAUACGGGCAAACUAGAGUAUUGCAGGGGAGACUGGAAUUCCUGGUGUAGCGGUGAAAUGCGCAGAUAUCAGGAAGAACACCAAUGGCGAAGGCAGCUCUCUGGGACGGUACUGACGCUGAGACGCGAAAGCGUGGGGAGCGAACAGG